rnacentral:misc_RNA from 1 species
AGAGAGAGACGCAGAGGGGCAGAGA